ACGAACGCUGGCGGCAGGCCUAACACAUACAAGUCGAGCGCGCCCUUCGGGGUGAGCGGCGGACGGGUGAGUAACGCGUGGGAACGUGCCCUUUUCUACGGAAUAGCCUCGGGAAACUGAGAGUAAUACCGUAUACGCCCUUUGGGGGAAAGAUUUAUCGGAAAAGGAUCGGCCCGCGUUGGAUUAGGUAGUUGGUGGGGUAAUGGCCUACCAAGCCGACGAUCCAUAGCUGGUUUGAGAGGAUGAUCAGCCACACUGGGACUGAGACACGGCCCAGACUCCUACGGGAGGCAGCAGUGGGGAAUCUUAGACAAUGGGGGCAACCCUGAUCUAGCCAUGCCGCGUGAGUGAUGAAGGCCUUAGGGUUGUAAAGCUCUUUCAGCUGGGAAGAUAAUGACGGUACCAGCAGAAGAAGCCCCGGCUAACUCCGUG
rnacentral:rRNA from 1 species